UACGAAGGGUGCAAACGUUGCUCGGAAUCAUUGGGCGUAAAGCGCACGUAGGCGGCUUCGCAAGUCGGAUGUGAAAUCCCACGGCUCAACCAUGGACGUGCAUCCGAAACCGUGAGGCUUGAGUAUGGAAGAGGGUCGCGGAAUUCCCGGUGUAGAGGUGAAAUUCGUAGAUAUCGGGAGGAACACCAGUGGCGAAGGCGGCGACCUGGGCCAAUACUGACGCUGAGGAGCGAAAGUGUGGGGAGCGAACAGG
rnacentral:rRNA from 1 species